rnacentral:misc_RNA from 1 species
UGAAUGAGGAUGAUGCUGCAAACUGUAAGAUUCUGUUGCUUCUUUUGCCGUAUUUGCUCCAAUUAUCAUCCAAGACAGACAGUAGAACAAUAUCAAAAUUAAUUCAGAUAUGGGUCUGUUUUUAUCCAAUAAUUCAUGUGUUGAGUCUGUUAUGUUGUUCUAAGGUUGAAAUCUUAUCCAAUAACAUGCUCACAUGCAUUUGAGCACAAUACACUUAAAAAUGGGAGAGAGAGAGAGAGAGUUUAUGCAAACUAGACAUACAAAGAUGAGAAAGUGUGCAAGAGACGAUACUGUUAGAAGCGACAGUCUCAACUACAUUUACUUUUCUGCUAGUGGGAGUCAUAGAUGGCCUAAUCUGAUUCUCUGACCAUAUGAAGGUCACUAAGCAGAACUUGGCAUCUGGUCCUUGACGUUUAAGGGGACUAACAAGAUGCCCAAUCUGACUACAAAGGCUAUAACCAAUUAAGAUGUCUCCAGUUUUACUUGAACGCAAACUGUGGGAGGCUGUUGUAAUGUUUGGAGAAGAAAUCUGUCCUGAUUAGGGACCCUGACAGAUAUUUCAUUCAAUUCUGGGCUUUAUAAAAGCUUGAGCAACAUUUUUAACAUCACUUGUAGCCUUUUUAAAGAUCAAAAGGAUGACUAACAAAUUGUUUUUAUUUCUGGAAUUCUAAAUGAUUUACUGAACUGAAAUCUGUGGCAAGUGCUUUGAUAGGAAGCUUUUAGAUUGAGGACCUAAUAUGCAAGGUUUACACAUGCGUACGUAUGUGUGUGUGUGUAUACUUAUGGAUUGUUUAAUUACACUUAGUUAGCAAAUAAUAUAGUAUUUGAGUAAGCUCUACAUGUUGCAAAUGAAAUUCUGUUCUCAUAUGCAGAUGUACUGCAGC